GCACUCCCGGGGCGUCUCUAUCUCAUUGCGAGAGGAGGCGCACCCAGAGCGUACACGCUGAUACCCGAAAGAUGGUGAACUAUGCCUGGCCAGGACGAAGCCAGGGGAAACCCUGGUGGAGGUCCGCAGCGAUUCUGACGUGCAAAUCGAUCGUCGGAGCUGGGUUUAGGGGCGAAAGACCAAUCGAACCAUCUAGUAGCUGGUUCCCUCUGAAGUUUCCCUCAGGAUAGCUUGCGCUCGGAAACAACGAGUCUCAUCCGGUAGAGCGAAUGAUUAGAGGCCUUGGGGUCGAAACGACCUCAACCUAUUCUCAAACUCCAAAUAGAUGAGAACCCCGGCUUUCUUGAACUCUGUUUAUGAAGCCGGGGGCUCGGAUCAGAGUGCCAAGUGGGCCAAUUUUGGUAAGCAGAACUGGCGCUGUGGGAUGAACCAAACGCGGAGUUAAGGCGCCUCAAUCGACGCUCAUGUGAAACCAUGAAAGGCGUUGGUUGCUUAAGACAGCAG
rnacentral:rRNA from 1 species